AGGUUGUUUCAGGGCGGGGUGUGAGUCCCCACCGGCGGUAAUGAGGCGCAUGCCUUUAGUCCGCGAGCGGUAACGCAGAUCGGGUGCGAUCCCCGAACCGACGGUAUAGUCCGGAUGAAAGAAGCAGUGC
rnacentral:ncRNA from 2 species